rfam:Tinamus guttatus contig1283, whole genome shotgun sequence.
CCAAAGGCUCUUUUAAGAGCCACCCACUUUUUCACUGGAAGGGCUG